rnacentral:rRNA from 1 species
AUUGAACGCUGGCGGCAGGCCUAACACAUGCAAGUCGAGCGGAGCGGCGGACGGGUGAGUAAUGCCUAGGAAUCUACCUGGUAGUGGGGGAUACCGUCCGGAAACGGGCGCUAAUACCGCAUAAUUUCCGAUGAGCCUAGGCCGGAUUAGCUAGUUGGUGGGGUAAAGGCAUACCAAGGCGACGAACCGUAACUGGUCUGCUAGGAUGAUCAGUCACACGUGACUGGAGACACGGUCCAGGCUCCUACGGGAGGCAGCAGUGGGGAAUAUUGGGCAAUGGCCGAAAGCCUGAUCCAGCCAUGCCGCGUGUGUGAAGAAGGUCUUCGGAUUGUAAAGCACUUUAAGUUGGGAGGCGUUACCAACAGAAUAAGCACCGGCUAACUUCGUGCCAGCAGCCGCGGUAAUAC